UUCAAAGCUUUUGUUUUGCGAAGAAUUUUAAGACUAGCAAUUUUUAAAUAAAAACGAUAACAUAUCCAGACAAGAUGCAACUGAAUAAUAAUUCUUUCCUGAUCACUAGCAAGAUGUUUAAAAAGGAAAAUUUGGCCAUGUGGGGAACUGGGCGCAAUCAAAUAGGCCCUAACAUAGAAAUUCAGUUUUGGCAACUGAAAGAAGAGCCAAACUAUCCUGGAUAUUUCUACAUCUGUAACACAAAAUAUGAUGGAUAUCGAAUUGCUAAUUUUGGACCUAGAAUUAGUUGUGAAAGUGAACCAGAUGAUGAAAGUCAGAUGUUUAAAUUUGAAGAAGUUGGUGAUAGUUUCUACCGAAUAUUCAAUUAUUAAAAACAAGAAGCAAAACUAACAAAAUGGGGAAACGAAAAUGAUGAAUUGGCUUUCUCUGAUGGAAUUGGUGAUGACAACCAAUCAUGGAAACUGGUACCAAGGUUCAAAGCAUAUGUUACAACUGUGAUGAUAUGGAGCUACGACAACAGACAAGGAUCAGAAUCUUUCUCAACAGAAAUAUCUGUAACAACUGGCCUCAAAUUUACAUCUUCCUCGACUACUCCAAUCACUAUUGGUUUGCAGCAAUCGUUAAUGGCCUCCGUUUGUUCAGCUGCAGUAGAUGAAGAAUCUAAGGUUGAGAUAAAUGAUGAGAUUCAAUAUUCAUUGUUGCAAAGCACAGAAGAAGAUUGGAGUCGUACUUCUGCAAUAGAAUAUACAGUACCGGCAGCAAAGAAUUUUCUCGUAAAACAGCUGACGUGUGAGUUUUAUAGCCUUCUUAGGUCCGAUACUUGUGUUUUGACAUGCAAAUCCAUCAUCAAAGAAACCAAGGGUACAAUGAAGACUACUUGCAUGUUGUAAAAAUUGUGAUAGCUUCAUCUAUGAUAGGAGAAGUAAGUCGUUCGAACGUUGUUAAAUUGUAAAGAAACACGAGCUUUCUUAUCUUCAUUCACAAAACGGCAAUGCCUGAAAUUGUGCAUACUUUAUUCGUCUACUCCUUUUUCUUCUUCUUCUCCUUCUUCUUCUUCUUCUUA